GGCUAGCAGUCCCAAAUAGGACGAAACGCGCGUCCUGGAU
rfam:Schistosoma mansoni strain Puerto Rico chromosome W, complete genome